rnacentral:hammerhead_ribozyme from 1 species
AUUCAGCUGAUGAGUCCAAAACGGGACAAAACGCGCAUUCUGGAU